AGCUUUGCGCAGUGGCAGUAUCGUAGCCAAUGAGGUUUAUCCGAGGCGCGAUUAUUGCUAAUUGAAAACAUUUCAUUUUCUUGCAUUUAAUCAAAUUGGUAUCAUUAGUCAAUAAAUAUUUAAUGCAUACUUACAGUGUUAUG